UACAGAGGUCUCAAGCGUUGUUCGGAUUCAUUGGGCGUAAAGGGUGGGUAGGUGGCGUGGUAAGUCGGAUGUGAAAUCCCGGGGCUCAACCCCGGAACUGCAUUCGAUACUGCCUUGCUAGAGUACUGGAGAGGAGAUUGGAAUUUACGGUGUAGCAGUGAAAUGCGUAGAUAUCGUAAGGAAGACCAGUGGCGAAGGCGGAUCUCUGGACAGUUACUGACACUGAGGCACGAAGGCCAGGGGAGCAAACGGG
rnacentral:rRNA from 1 species